rnacentral:rRNA from 1 species
CGAUGAAGGCCUUCGGGUCGUAAAGUUCUGUUGUUAGGGAAGAACAAGUACCGUUCGAAUAGGGCGGUACCUUGACGGUACCUAACCAGAAAGCCACGGCUAACUACGUGCCAGCAGCCGCGGUAAUACGUAGGUGGCAAGCGUUGUCCGGAAUUAUUGGGCGUAAAGCGCGCGCAGGCGGUUUCUUAAGUCUGAUGUGAAAGCCCACGGCUCAACCGUGGAGGGUCAUUGGAAACUGGGAAACUUGAGUACAGAAGAGGAGAGUGGAAUUCCACGUGUAGCGGUGAAAUGCGUAGAUAUGUGGAGGAACACCAGUGGCGAAGGCGACUCUCUGGUCUGUCACUGACGCUGAGGCGCGAAAGCGUGGGGAGCAAACAGGAUUAGAUACCCUGGUAGUCCACGCCGUAAACGAUGAGUGCUAGGUGUUAGGGGUUUCGAUGCCCUUAGUGCCGAAGUUAACACAGUAAGCACUCCGCCUGGGGAGUACGACCGCAAGGUUGAAACUCAA